rnacentral:rRNA from 1 species
GUAGGUGGCAAGCGUUGUCCGGAAUUAUUGGGCGUAAAGCGCGCGCAGGCGGGUCCUUUAAGUCUGAUGUGAAAGCCCACGGGCUCAACCGUGGAGGGUCAUUGGAAACUGGGGGACUUGAGUACAGAAGAGGAAAGCGGAAUUCCACGUGUAGCGGUGAAAUGCGUAGAGAUGUGGAGGAACACCAGUGGCGAAGGCGGCUUUCUGGUCUGUAACUGACGCUGAGGCGCGAAAGCGUGGGGAGCAAACAGGAUUAGAUACCCUGGUAGUCCACGCCGUAAACGAUGAGUGCUAAGUGUUAGGGGGUUUCCGCCCCUUAGUGCUGCAGCUAACGCAUUAAGCACUCCGCCUGGGGAGUACGGCCGCAAGGCUG